rnacentral:lncRNA from 1 species
AGGGAUUCUCUUCAGCCGAUCAAUUAUGUGUCUCCAGUGCUUUUUGUCUCGUCCGUAAAAUGAAGAACCCAAAACUUUAAGAGCUAAAGGGAGUCCACCAGCAUGCUCCACCACUUGUCUUGAAAGUUCCAUAAAAUCUUCUUUUGGUGAUUUUUCUCUAAAAGCAUGCCUACUGAACAAUUCAAGUGCUUCAUCCUCAGAUAAUAGUUGGACUUCAUACACGUUAUCCCCAACGUGACUUAUUAACAAGUGCUUGUCUCUUGCUGUUAAAAUAAUUCUGCUACCCCUACCAAACCAUUCUGGCUCUCCAACCAAAAAUUCCAACUGUUCUUGAUGGUUUACAUCAUCGAUGGUGAACAGAACUUUCUUCCAGCGAAGCAUAUUCUUUAAAAUAUUCAUCCCUUCAUGCUCACUAGUUAGAGUCAAUUUUUCACCCAAGAGCUUGCAAAUGACGACUUGUUGUAGCCAUGUUAGUCCCUUUUUCUGAUGAAGUUUUCCAACAUCACCAAGAAAACAAUCAGCUUCAAAUUGAUGGCGGUAUCUUUGAUGUAGAACAUUUGCAAUUUCUGUUUUGCCGAUGCCGCCCAUACCCCAAAUACCAAUAGAGCGAACAUCAUUUGAUUCCAUAUCUAAUAAUGAGGUUACUUUAUCAACCUGAGAUUUCAUACCCACUAAGUUUUCCGGGAAAGGUGAAAUAAUUUGAAGUGACUUAGGAAAUAUGUCAUCAACUAGUUUCUUGACGCACUCAGCCUCAUCCCUACAUUACAGUGGAAAAUAAACUCAAAGUAAAUAAAUAGAAAAGCAAAGACUUGUCAUAGACUAAUAUCUAAAACAAACACAUAAUAAUGUCAAUUAUGAAUUAUUACAUUUUUAAAUCUAAUUACAUCAUCAAACAAUCAUAUACGUCUCUGUUUUCCUUUUUCGGUAAAAGUAUAGCUGAUGAUUGUGUGGAAUUGUAGCUAAAAGUUUGGUCCUUUUCGCUCUUGAUAAAGAGAAACCGGAAAAAAAGAAGAAAGCUUACUUGAAAUUAAGUAAAUGAUAGCCUGAUAUUUUCCCUGCCUCCACAAAUGCACCCCUCCAUCUCUGAACCUUCUCCAUAUCAUCUUUGCAUUUUUCCUCAUGUUGUAAAAAUGAAUCAGCAAAAGGGGGAUGUUGAUGGCACACAUCUGAUUGACUCACAUCAUAGAAGACUGGAAUCACAAUCUGCUCCAAUUCCUUUUUACACUUUAUGAUGUGUGCAAGCUCCUUUAAGCACCAUCUUGACGAUGCAUAGCUUUUGGAAAAUAUCACUAUAGCAAAUUUAGACUCUUGUAUGGCUUUCAAAAGUUCAUCAGAAAUUGAUUUUCCCGUUUCUAGUCGCUCAUCAUCUUUAAAAGUGCGGAUUCCUCUUAGUUCCAAAGAAUUAUAGAGAUGACUCACAAAGUUUCUACGUGUAUCUUCACCUCUAAAACUCAAAAAGACAUCGUACUUGCAAAUUUUGGAAGAUGAAGCAUGAGACAUUGUUGAAGAAUAUUGCUAAAGACUAACAGGCAAGUUCUCAGCACAACUGGCAAAUUUAUUUCUCAGCCAUAAUUUGGUGUAUGGGGAUACUUCCAUUCAUCUUCCUAUCUGUUACUAUAUAGAAUUAAAACAACCUGGUCAACAAGAAAGAAAAGACAAAGCUUAAUAUUAAAGAAUAAGGUUUCACCUACUUCACUAUUCCUAGGGAACUUCUUGUCAUCUUCCUAAUCCAUGAUUGUGAGAAAUUAAAGAGUAUAAAAAGACGCAACUUGGGCCGCCUUAGACCAAAAAAGGGAAGAAAAAACUUGUUAUCAUCUUCCUAAUUCAUUUGUACUACUUUUAAAAUAUUUUAUUGUAAAGACUUUACCUUUUUUUCAUUAUUCCAGACCUAUAUAGGAAACUACUUAUCAUCUUCCUAAUUCAUGACAUAAAAAUGUACACUUUUACAGUAUUGCACUGAUAAAUUAAACAAAUGAGCACCAAAUUGAUACCUUUCAGUAAAUUGAUAUAAAUUCGUUGCCCUACCUGCGAAAUUGAACAAAAUUUUCGUAGCAAUUUAGAAAAAAACACACAAAAAGCAGAAAAGAAAGACAAACCUCAUCAAAGAUAUUAAGCAGAAAUGAAGAGAACCACAAUCUAACAGCUGAUUGUUAAGUGCUAAAGGCAAAAUACUUUUUAAGCCCAAAAAAGAGAAAAUGGGUAUGUACAAGCAACAAAUGAAAGGAUCCUUGAAGCUCAAAUAUAGAGGGAUGUUGUUAUACUUCAAAGAAUAUUUUCUUUUAGGGUCAGAUUUGCAGACCAAUGUAACUUCUAAUUUUGUGUGCAGUAUAACAGGACCGUAACAUAUCCAAAAACCCAUGAAUUUAUAGGUAUACCAAGAUGGGUUCAGAUCAAUUGACAUCUCUUUUUGAUUUAUAAACCGAUUAUAAUCUAACAGCUCUGGAAUUCUGACUCCGGAAAAAGAAAUGAGAAAACAACCCCUUAGGUAGAAGUCACACUGCAUGUAAUAUAAAUUAUUAUUACUAAUAGAAGUCAAUUUGAUGAGAAUAUUCAACAUUCAUAUAUGAGAUAAAAACCUGGAUGCAUGUCCUGCGAAAAUGCUGUAGGAACACAUUAGCUUGUUCACUUGAGACAGUUUCACAUUCGGAUAUUGCAAGCCUACACAGCUUAGGGUAAUGAAUUACGAGAUCUCUGAUGCUCAUUAAGGCUAAAUGAUAAUCUGCAAAUAGCUCCCUUAGCUUUCCUGGCAGUCCAUUAAAUUCUGACAGAAUUCAAGUGACGCCACUUGAUGCAAAUCACCAAUGAUUUCUGGAAGCUUUUCUAGUCUUUUGCACCCUCUGGGCUCUGAGUAAAAGACGUUGCAGAUUCAUCAAAUUACAGAGGCUGUCUGGUAGACUUACAAGAUCUUCACAACCUGUCAGAUUUAGCUCAGUGAGGCCGCUCAUAUUUCUAGUGAACGAAGGCAUUUCUCUUAUCCCAGUAGAAUUCAGAGUCAGUUGUAUCAAGCAAUGCAUAUCUCCGUUGAUUUCUGGAAAUGCAUUAUAGAGAUGACUCACAAAGGUUCUACGUGUAUCUUUGUGACAUAACUUGACCCUUAGACCAAAAAAGGAAAAGAAAAAACUAGAAGUCAUUAUAUUUUUGCUGAUUUUAUUGUAAAGACUAGACUUUACCUUUUUUCAUUAUUCCAAGCCUCUGUAGAAAACUUGUUAUCAUCUUUCUAAUUCAUGACAUAUCAUUGUACCCUUUUGCAGUAUUGCAGUGACAAAUUAAACAAAUGAGUAGCAAAUUGGGGACAAAUAUAAGUUUUCCCCAUUUUAACUUAAUCAUACCUUCCUGUAAAUGAUAUAAAUUUGUUGCCCUACCUGAGGAAUUGUCCAGAAAUUGAAGAAAAAUUUCAUAAUAAUUUAGAAGAAAAAGCAGAAAAGAAUGACUGACCUGAGAGAACCACACCAAAAGCUAACUAUUGAGGUAUAUAAGAGCCUGUUUGGAUUCAGAAUAGUUUUAAAGUGUUUAUGUAAAUUUAAAAAGAAAUAGGCUUCAAUCAGCUUAUUGAGCUACAGAAGUUUUCUCAACUCACAAUGGAGCAUCCAGUUUUUAUAUUUACAUUAUAUAUACAAAUUCUAUGGAACAAUAUCACCGUAUACUUGAGAGUCAAUUAGCAGCAAACACAUCAUAAACAGAAAUACUACUUCUACUUUUUAUGGCUAAACAGAUCUUAUAUAAGCCCAAUAUCAGCUUCACAAAUGACAUACUAAAAUCUCAUACCCCUUCCAAUAGGACUCAAUUAUUUUUAAUAGCAUUAAUUUUCAAAUUAAAAAUGUCUCUCCCAAUCCAAGUUACCUUUUACAUAUAAAGGGAUCUUAGGAAGAUGGUGUGUACGUAACUUUACCCUUACCUAGUUAAGGUAGAGAAGUUGUUUCCCACUCAAACACCAACAUUAUAAAUAAAAAUUUCAUCCAUCUAUCAUCGAUACAAAUUCCUGGUAUAUAAUUAAUUUUCAUUUGAGAAGGGUACAUACAAAUUGUACCAACAAUGUAGAACAUACACUUUCCAUACCAUUUUAUGAUACAUGUUUGGUUGAAUACAAAAUUUAAGAAAGACAGAAAAAUAUUUGAAAAUUGUGAUGUAAAACAAGUCAUAAACAGACCUUUGCAUCAUUUGGGUUCUUCCCUUCUUUAUUGUCAGAAGCAUACCACAAUGUUUCAAACGGUAUAUAGGCACAACAAAUGAAAGGAUACUCGAACCUCGAAUAUUCAGGGAUGUAGUUCUACUCCAAGGAAUAUUUUCUUUCAGGGUCAGACUUGCAGACCAAUGUAGCUUCUAAUCUUGCGUCCAGUCUAGUAGGACCGUAACUUAUCAAAAAACCCAUGAAUUUAUCAGUAUACCAAAAUGGGUUCAGCUUAAGACAACAAAUUACGAGAUUUUUGCUGCUCUUCAAAGUUAGAUGAUAAUCAGCAAAUAGCUCCCUUAAAUUUGGGGGUAGCUCUCCUGGCAGUUCAUUAAGAUUCUGACAGAAUUAUACGUUCAGAUGCUGAAGGUGUAAGAGUCCUUUGAAGCUUUUUGGUAAACAAGAAAUAUUGCUUCCACUUACAUUCAAAUUUUCCAAAGAGUGCAAAGAUCCUAAAUCCUCAGGAAGUCCACUCAAUAUGUUGUGAUUAUUAAGAUCAUGUGAUGUCAAGGAGGAUAAACCUGAUACUUGAUUCAAGACAAAACUUGAGGAAUGUUGAAAUUGUUGUUCAUGUGAGAAUCGUAACUUCCACAGUUUGCCAAGCUUAGUGAUGGAGGGAGGUGGUUGGGAGAUUGCAGUUUCGCUCGCAUCAAGUAUAUGUAAAUCUUGCAAAUCACCAAUGUUUUCUGGAAGCUUCUCUAGCUUGUUGCACCCGUCGAGGUAAAGACAUCGAAGUUUCAUCAAAUUGCAGAUAUUCGAGGUCUCCUAGAUGCCCAAUGGAUGAAGGCACUUCUCUUAUCCCAGUAGAAUUCAGAGUCAGCUGUGUCAAGUAAUGCAUAUCUCCAUUGAUUUCUGGAAAUGUAUCUAAUUUUGGGGAAUUAGAUAUCUUGAGCUUUUGAAGGGAUUUCAUCUGAAUCGAGCUUGGAAGCUUCUUUAAGUUCUCACAUCCAUCUAUCUCUAACAAACGGAGCUUCUUUUGAACUCCAAGAGAUAUGGGGAGCUUUACCAAUCCAGAACAUCGGUAUAUACCAAGACAUCCCAAUUGCUGUGAUUCAAAGAGGUUGUUUGGCAGUGUUGCAAAUUUAUUGAAACCUGAAAUACUGAGAUCUCUAAGAUUUUGAAUGGCGUCCAGAAUACUCUCAAGAACUUCACACUCAGUCAAUUGCAAAUUUCUAAGGCUGCUGAAAGAUGGAGGUAAGCUUCUUAUCCACGGGUAUUUUACAUAGAGUAUUGAUAAGCGCGGCAUAUCUCCACAGAUUUCUGGAAAUUCUUCUAAGCUUGUGCAUUCAAGGAGAUUGAGAGUCUCAAGAGAUCCCACGCAGACAAAUUUUGGAAUCUUCUUAAGUUUGCGAUAACCUUCCAAACUCAAAUAAGUAAGCAGUCUGCAAUGUCCAAAUGAGGAAUGGACCUCUUCCAAAUUCACACACCGUGUAAAUUUAGUGUCUCUAAGUUUGGCAUAUCACCAAAAUUAGGGGUUUUUCUUAACUCACAGCUGUCCAUGAGAUCCAAAUGCUUCAAGUUGCUCAAUUUCUGUUUCCAAAAAAAAAAAAGAACAGUGAGCUUAACUAGUACUCCUAAUAGAAAUAUUUUGUAGGAAAAAAAAAUAAAGAGAAGAUAAGGUUGUUAUGAUCAUUAAAGGCGGUAGCCAAUCUGGAAAAGAACUUUUGAGAUACAUAAUUGUCUUAAAAUCCAAAUAUAUAUUUCUUUUCUUUUAAUUUCAUAAUGAAAAUAAAACCUCUUUAAACCUAGAAAUAAUUCCUUCUCAUCUUUGUCCAGACAAUCAAAACUAAGCCUAAGCUUUCCUAAAAUAUCCUUGUGAGGGAUUCUCUUCAGCCGAUCAAUUAUGUGUCUCCAGUGCUUUUUGUCUCGUCCGUAAAAUGAAGAACCCAAAACUUUAAGAGCUAAAGGGAGUCCACCAGCAUGGUGCACCACUUGUCUUGAAAGUUCCAUAAAAUCUUCUUUUGGUGAUUUUUCUCUAAAAGCAUGACUACUGAACAAUUCAAGUGCUUCAUCCUCCGAUAAUAGUUGGACUUCAUACACGUUAUCCCCAACGUGACUGAUUAACAGGUGCUUGUCUCUUGCCGUUAAAAUAAUUCUGCUACCCCUACCAAACCACUCUGUCCCUCCAACUAAAAAUUCCCACUGUUCUUGAUGGUUUACAUCAUCAAGGAUGAACAGAACUUUCUUCCAGCGAAGCAUAUUCUUUUAAAUAUUCAUCCCUUCAUGCUCACUAGUUAGAGUCAAUUUUUCACCCAAGAGCUUGCAAAUGACAACUUGUUGUAGCCAUGUUAGUCCAUUUUUCUGAUGAAGUUUUCCAACAUCACCAAGAAAACAAUCAGCUUCACAUCGAUGGCGGUAUCUUUGAUGUAGAAUAUUUGCAAUUUCUGUCUUGCCGAUGCCGCCCAUACCCCAAAUGCCGAUGGAGCAAACAUCAUUUGAUUCCAUAUCUAAUAAUGAGGUUACUUUCUCAACCUGAGAUUUUUUACCCACUAAACUUUCCAGGAAAGGUGAAAUAAUUUGAAGUGACUUGGGAAAUAUGACAUCAACUAACUUCUUGAUGCACUCAGCCUCAUCCCUACAUUACAGUGAAAAUACUCUCAGAGUAAAUAAAUAGAAAAGGAAAGACUUGUCAUAGAUUAAUAUCUAAAGCAAACACAUAAUAAUGUCACAAAGGUUGUUCCCCCGCUCUCCCCCCCCCCCCUGGUGUCAUAAGGUAGCUUAAAUCAACUAUUAUGAAUUAUAACAUUUUAAAAUCUAAUUACAUCAUCAAACAACCAGAUAGCUAAAAGUUUGGUCCUUUUUCCUCUUGAUAAAGAGAAACCCGAAGAAAAGAAGAAGAUCACUUACUUGAAAUUUUGUAAAUGAUACCCCGAUAUUUUCCCAGCCUCCGCAAAUGCACCCGUCCAUCUCUGAACCUUCUCCAUAUCAUCUUUGCAUUUUUCCUCAUGUUGUAAAAAUGAAUCAGCAAAAGGGGGAUGUUGAUGGCACACAUCUGAUUGACUCACAUCAUAGAAGACUGGAAUCACAAUCUGCUCCAAUUCCUUUUUACACUUUAUGAUGUGUGCAAGCUCCUCUAAACACCAUCUUGACGAUGCAUAGCUUUUUGAAAAUAUCACUAUAGCAAAUUUAGACUCUUGUAUGGCUUUCAAAAGUUCAUCAGAAAUUGAUUUUCCCGUUUCUAGUCGCUCAUCAUCUUUAAAAGUGCGGAUCCCUCUUUGUUCCAAAGCAUUAUAGAGAUGACUCACAAAGUUUCUACAUGUAUCUUCACCUCUAAAACUCAAAAAGACAUCGUACUUGCAAAUUUUGGAAGAAGAAGCAUGAGACAUUGUUGAAGGAUAUAAGACUAACAGGUAACUUCUCAGCCCAACUAGCAACAUUAUUUCUCAGCUAUGUGAAUGCAUAAUUUGGUCAAAAAGAGUGAAACAGUUGAGUUGACCAACCUGGUCAAAAAGAAAGAAAAGACAGACAAAUUUCCAGUUUAAUAAUAAAGAACAAGACUUCACCAUUUUCACUAUUCCUAGUCUUUAUGAGGAACUUGUUAUCAUCUUCCUAUUUCAACUUAUAAAAUGUUAACUUUUUCAUUACUGUGAGAAAUUAAAGAGUAUAAAAACAGACAAGAAGACUUACACCAAAAAAGGCAAAGAAAAAACUAAAGUCAUUACAUUUUUACUGAUAUUAUUGUAAAGACUUUACCUUUUUCAUUAUUCCAAACCUCUGUAGGAAACUUGUUAUCAUCUUCCUAAUUCAUGACAUAUAAUUGUACUCUUUUUCAGUAUUGCACUGACAAAUUAAACUAAUGAGCACCAAAUUGGGGCACAAAUUUAAAUCUUAACUUAAUCAUACCUUUCGGAAAAUUGAUAUAAAUUCGUCGCCCUAACUGAGAAAUUGCCCAGAAAUUGAAGAAAAAAAUCGUAAUAAUUUAGAAAAAAACACACAAAAAGCAGAAAAGAAAACUGACCACAUCAAAGAUAUAAGCAGAAAAGAAGAGAACCGCACUCUUAACUAUUGAGGUUUAUAAGAGCUUAUUUGGUCAGAUAUAUCAUUUUUAGGUUUAUCUUUAUCAAGAGGAAAAUGGAAUAAAGAUUCUUGACAAGCUGACGGAGUAUGUCGGAUUUUAGCGUUUUCUUUAAUAGUGUUUAUUAGCAAUAAACAAGCUUUUUUUUUUACUCGUAUUGAAGAUGCGUUUUUUUCUAAAAUGAUCCGUAUUGAGUUAAAUUAAAAAUUAGAAAGCAAGUAUUUGUGUUAAAUCAAGAUAGCCGGGAUGAUAUGAAAAAAACAAAAAUACAUGAUAUUAUUUAAUUUAAUUGAAUGUUUAAACAAGAAAAUUGAAGCACUUCCGUCAGUUAUUAUUCAUGCAAAAAUACAUUAAAAAAAAUCUCAAAAAAAAAUCAAUGUUCAUACAUUAAUUUUUAUUUUUUUUAAAAGGAAAACUAACGAACACAAGUUAUAUGGACAAACACCAACUAAAAAUCGCAUACCCUUUCCCAUAGGCAGUGGCGGAGGCAGGAUUUCCAUCGAGGGGGUUCAAAAAGAUAAGUAAGCACACUAUUAGUAUCCAUAUAAGCGGGGCGGGUCAAAUAUAAAUGGGUCGGAUCAGAUAUAAGCAACUAAAAAAAAUUCAACUCUACCUCAACACAAACAAUAAAAUCGAGUAAUCAUAUGUUUGACGAGAUUUGUAUUUUUUAAAACUAUAAUUAUGGGUCUUGUCUCUGUCAUUGUUGUAUACAAACGUUAUUUAAUUUUUGAAACUAACUAAGGAAUACUUCUAAAUCCGAUCAUACUGUAGCAAUAAAAUUUGCGUCGAUAAAAUAAUUAUCAAGGUUGAAAAAUAUCGCGACAAUUGUAUUUAUUUAUAAAUUUUAAAUGAUUACUCUUAUUUAUUUAAUCUUACUUAUAAUUAUAUUAAUUCUUAAUCAAAUAUAAAUUAAAUGUUUUCUUAAAAUGAGUAUGAAAGAAUGUAUUUUUAAUUUUAAUUAUGACAACAACGUUUAUAAGUUUUACUUAAUUUUAUAAAAAUGGAAAAUUAAAUUUAUUUUUUUAAUAUCUAAUAAAUAGUAUAAAUCUCAAUAGGUUUUCAAACAAAACAAAAAUUUUCAUUUAUUUAGAAAAUUAAAUGAAAAUCGGCUGAAAUAUGGGGGAAAAAAAUGCUGUUACAGGGAGUCGAACCUGCGACCCAGCACUUAUAUUGCGAAUUCUUGAACCCCCUUUACCACUAAACCAAGCCCUUAGCUUAUGUUCAGGGGUUCAUCACUUGGUAUAUACAUAUAAAUAAAAAAAUUGACCCUAUAUAUACCAUGUAAUUUUUCCAACGAAGGGGGUUCGGAUGAACCCCUUGGAUCCAUGUAGAUCCGCCCCUGCCCAUAGGACUCAAUUAUUUUUAAGAAGUAUUAAUUUUCAAAUUAAAAAUGUCUCUCCAAAUACAAAUAGCCUUUUACAUAUAAACAGACCUUUGCCUCACUCAUUGCUUCUUUUCUUUUUUCUAUGACCACUAUCAUCACUCAUUGCUUCCUCUUCAUACACCAGCCGAAUUCCCCAGCAUACUUCUUUCUCCAGCCCGUACAUGUGAGAAAACUCCAACAUGUAAUAAUCAUUUGGAUUCUUCCCUUCUUUAUUGCCAGAAGCAUUCCACAAUGUUUCAAAUGGUAUGUACCAGCAAUAAAUGAAAGGAUCAUUGGAAAAAGACCCACUCACCCCAUACUUCAAGGAAUAUUUUCUUUCAGGGUCAGAUUUGCAGACCAAUGUAGCUUCUAAUCUUAUGUACUUUGUAGUAGGACCGUAGGUUAUCCAAAAACCCAUGAAUUUAUUGGUAUACCAAGAUGGGUUCAGAUCAAUUGACAUCUUUUCUUGAUUUAUAAAUGGACAAUCAUAAUCGAACAACUCUGAAAUUCUGACUCUGGGAAAAGUAAUGAGAAAAUAAUCCCUUUGAUGGAAGUCACACUGCAUGCAAUAGAAUAGAGAUUAUUAUUACUACUACUAGAAAUCAAUUUGACGAGAAUAAUAUUCAACAUUCAUAUAUGAGAUAAAAACCUGGAUGCAUGUCCUGAGAAAAUGAUGUAGGAACACAUUAACUUGUUCACUUGAGACGGCUCCACAGUUGGAUAUUACGAGCCUACACAGCCUAAGACAAUUAAUUACGAGAUCUCUGAUGCUCUUCAAGGCUAAAUGAUAAUCUGCUAAUAGCUCCCUUAAAUUUGGGGGUAGCUCUCCUGGCAGUUCAUUAAGAUUCUGACAGAAGUGUAUGUUCAGACUCCGAAGGUGUAAGAGUCCUUUAAGGCUUUUUGGUAAACAAGAAAUAUUGCUUCCACUUAAACUCAAAUAUUUCAAAGUGUGCAAAGAUCCUAAAUCCUCAAAAAGUCCACUCAAGCCUAAAAUUAUCAGUUUCCCAAGCUUGGUGAUGGAGGGAGGUGGUUGGUAUAUUGCAGUUUCGCUCACAUCAAGCUUACAUAACUCUUGCAAAUCACCCAUGUUUUCUGGAAGCUUUUCUAGCUUUUUGCACCCGUUGAGUAAAAGAUAUUGAAGAUUCAUCAAAUUACAGAGGCUGUCUGGUAGACUUACAAGAUCUUCACAACGUUUCAGACAUAGCUCAGUGAGGCCGCUCAGAUUCCCAAUGGAUGAAGGCACUUCUCUUAUCCCAGUAGACUUCAGACUCAGUCGUGUCAAGCAAUGCAUAUCUCCGUUGAUUUCUGGAAAUGUAUCUAAUUUUGGGUAUUUAGAUAUCGAGAGAUCUAGAAGGGAUUCCAUCUGAAUAGAGCUUGGAAGCUUCUUUAAGUUCUCACAUCUCUCUAUUAUUAACAAACGGAGAUUCUUUUGAACUUCAAGAGAUAUGGGGAGCUUUACCAAUCCAGAACAUCCGUAUAUACAAAGAACUUUCAAUAGCUGUGAUUCGAAGAGGCUGUUUGGCAGUGUUGCAAGUUUAUUGCAACCUGAAAUUCUGAGAUCACUAAGAUUUCGAAUAGUGUCUGGAAUACAUUCAAGAAUUUCACAAUCACCCAAAUGCAACUCUCUAAGGCUGCUGAGAGACGGGGGUAAGCUUCUUAUCCAGGGGGAUCCUAGAGAGAGUUUUGAUAAGCGCCGCAUAUUUCCACAGAUUUCUGGAAAUUCUUCUAACCUUGUGCAUUCCCUGAGAUUGAGAUCCUCAAGAGAAUCCAUGCAGACAAAUUUUGGAAGCUUCUUAAGUUUGCGACAACCAUACAAACUCAAAUAAGUAAGCAUUUUGCAAUGUCCAAUAGAGGGAUGGACCUCUUCCAAAUUCACACACCCCUCUAAAUGUAGCUUCUCCAAGUUUGGUAUACCACCAAAAUUAGGGGUUUUUGUGAACUCACAGCUAUCCCUGAGAUCCAAAUGCUUCAAAUUGCUCAAUUUCUGUAUUCAUUUAAAAAAAAAACGAAAAACUAGUUAACUAAAGUAGUACUCCUAAUAGAAAUAUUUUAUGGGAAAAAAAAUAAAGAGAAGAGAAGGUUGUUAUGAUCAUUGAAGGCAGUAGAAAACGUGGAAAAGAGGGAGUCCCAUGUAAUUCUAUCAACCAAAGCUAGAACAGAUUAAAACAGAUGGAAAGAAAUCACCUAGGAGUCGUUUGGUAGAGUGUAUAAAAACAAUGCUCAAUAGAGUCUAUUAGUAAUACUUGCAUUAGUUAUGUAUAGAUUAUUUCUCAUGCAUUGUUUAGUUUGGUGUAUUAAAAAUUGUAUGCAUUGUAUAAAAAUAUUUAUGUACAAAAAUAUCCUCCACAAUUAUGGUGGAAAAGAUGUAAAAAUGCUUUUGAGGGGUAAUUGGGUCUAUGCUAAUACAUGUAUUAAAUUCAUUUGCAUUACUAAUACCUAGAAAUCCAUGGUAUUAGUAAUACACUCCACUAAUAUAGGGAUUUGAACCUGAGAUCUCAUAGUGCUCAAUCCACUUCUUUGACACCUAGUACACAUCCUUGGGUGCGCUUGCAAGUUCUUUAUUAGGUAGAUAUAAUUGCAGGAAGUAAAUUACUAUACAAUUAUAAAUCCAAAGAUUCAAAAAUAUUUACAUCAUGACUGUGAUGAAGUACUUCAUUUAUAUCGUGAAUGUCAACAAAGUUAGGUUCCGCCUAAAUAUGUUGAAGAUUUAAUUGGGAAAAGAAAGGUGAUGAAAAGAGAGAGGGAGAGAUUAUAUAUUUGAUUUUUGUGAUGAAGUUUGUACUUGUAAGAACAAUAUUUGAACUUUCAAGUGAGUGAUUACCAAAAAAAAAGAUUAAAAAAUUGGUGUUAAUUGUGUAUAACAGUACAUUUAUUUAAAGUAGCAUUUAAAUCGUGGACGGAUUAAUUUACGUGCAUUGACCUAUCAAAACAUUUAUUUCAAGCUCAUGAUUACGUUGAUUAAAAUUAGAAAAAGUAAAUUACAUGAAAGCGAGUUUAUAUACAUGAUGUUCUAUAAUUACAACUAUUUGUUCAGAUUUAUUAUUACAUUAUUCUGUACAAGAACUUUGCAACAAAUCUAGUUGAUGUAUAAUAUUUGAAAAUUUAAAACCAAAAUAGUAGAGUUAAUUGAUUUUAAUCCCUCGAAGGAGAAAACUUUGGUUCAAGCCGAUCCUAAUAGUAAUAUACAAUCAGUUAGCACACCAAUUGGAGUAUGUAGCAUGCGGACCGAAAAAGAUGGUAAUGUUAUGAGUCCUACAAUAGCUAAGGCUAUUCAAGAAAGUCAGGCUGCCAUGUUACUCAAACCCAAUUUAGCGAUCAAGCCACCCAUGGUCACAUUGAGCAUCUCAGCUCAUGAGGUCACUUCCCAAAAUUUGGAUUCACCUGAUGAACAUCAAGGUGAAUUUGGACAGCUCUUAUCAUCCACGGGAAAUGAUAAAGUUUUGGUGAAAGGUAUGUCACCACUCUGUCAAGCUAAUUUUACAAAUGAUUUGUUAAUUUCGAAAGAAAAACAACAAGGGGAGAUGAGUACUCCUAGGUGGGCUGAUUUUGGUUGAUGAAGAGAGCAUGUUUCACUCCUCUUUUGAAUAGAAAAUUAAGUCCACAAGCUCAAGAAUUUGUACCUAAAAGUACAAUUGCAAAGAAGAAUGAACAAGAGGCCUUAGCAUCAUGAUUUAGUCCAAUUAAUGCUUAUGCUAGUGAUUUGGGUGAUGAUUCUUUUGAUGAGGAUGAGGAAGAUAAUAUGUUGGACAUAUGCUUUGAUAAAGUGGCUAGAGAUGGGGAUAUCUCACCUAGGCAUCAAAGAAGUGGAAGCAACAAAAACAAAAAGAAGACACAUGGAAGACAACACAGAUGGGAUGGUAAUUUGACAGCGGAGUUUGUUCCAAGGCCCCUGCCGAUGCGACUGGCAAAGCAAAAUCAUAUGAUAGUGUCAAUAGCUUCAACAAGAUCCCAUACAUUCAAAAAGAAAUGAUGAAGUAUCAAAUUUUGUUGGACAUAUUUGAAGAAGACAAGAGGAAAAUACUUUAGGUUACUUUAGAUGGGCUAUCUAUCAUUGUUAAUUCACACAUUUGUAAAAAUAAGUUUGAGGUUGAUAACUCAACUUUCUUCUUGAAUUUUAUAUUUGUGCAUUAUUUAAGCAUUCUCAUUUGUAAUAUCAUCAUAGAGUGUAUUACGAAUUCUGUUAUGAUUAUAGAAUAUCUAGUUCUCUCUAGCUUUUAUUUUCUUCAUGCUUGUUAAUUAGUAGAGGUUCGUUACCUCAUAGGAUUUGACAAGGUAAGGCCUAGCCCCCCUUGCUUGUACUUAUUUUUUGUUGAGGAUUUUUGUUUUUAAUAAAAAAACUGCUAGACGCUCUGUCUAGUGGUAUUAAAAAUAAAUCAAUUUUGAACUAUAAAAAAUAAAGGGAAAAUGCAUAAGUACCCGCCAGCCUAUACCCGAAAUCCCAAAGACACACCUAACCUUUACUAAGGUCCUAUUACCCCCCCCCCCCCNNNNNNNNNNNNNNNNNNNNNNNNNNNNNNNNNNNNNNNNNNNNNNNNNNNNNNNNNNNNNNNNNNNNNNNNNNNNNNNNNNNNNNNNNNNNNNNNNNNNNNNNNNNNNNNNNNNNNNNNNNNNNNNNNNNNNNNNNNNNNNNNNNNNNNNNNNNNNNNNNNNNNNNNNNNNNNNNNNNNNNNNNNNNNNNNNNNNNNNNNNNNNNNNNNNNNNNNNNNNNNNNNNNNNNNNNNNNNNNNNNNUUCGGGCAUAGGCUGGGGGGGUACUUAUGCAUUUUCCCAAAAAUAAAUAAAAAAUACUUCAUUUAAGUUAUCUAUAGCCCAUUCCUAUAGAAAACAAAUACAGUUAUCCUACGUGGCACUAUCCUUGAAAAAAUUGUCAACACGCGCUGGGCCCACAAGAUAGUGCCACGUAGGCCGAAAAGGGGUAGAAAAUUAUAUAUAAAAUAAGUUCAGGGGGGUAAUAGGACCUUAGUAAAGGUUAGGUGUGUCUCAGAGAUUUGGGGCAUAGGCUGGGGGGGUACUGAUGCAUUUUCCCUAUAUUUAAAGCAAUUUCACCUUUGAAGGUUCAUAUAACAAAAAUAUAAAUAUUUAGUUAAGAUGAAUUACAGAAACAAGUAUAUAGCCAGCUGUCUAAUAAUUGUAAGAGAGUGUUACCUUUGAUAUUGGCCAAAGUUCAACAAGCCUACUUUCAGGUAAACAAAGCACAACGAGCUGUGAUGGUUCAAAGCUCUCUGGCAAUGAAAUUGAAGGAUACCCUAUCCAAUCAAUAAACCGCAGGCUGGAAGGAAGAUAAGUGACAGCGCAGUUUGAGUUAAAAGAUCCACCACCAACUAUGGGUAUUUUUAAGCUUUGCAUCCUCUUGAAAAUAUUGCUAUAAUCGACAAGAUCAUCUUCAAAAUAGUAAUCUUUAGGGAUACAUAGGCUUUCCACCUUUUCUGUUAUCUGUAUAGAAUGAAGCACAUAUUUAAUAGCUAACAAAUAAAAAUGAAACAAAAAGAUUAAUAGAACUACGAGCUUCCAAAAUUAUUAAUUACGUUAAAUAUUGCUUACCAACUUCCCUUUAAAAAGGUCACAAACUUCCUCGGGAAGCCAUAUUCUACUGUUAGCGUACUCUUCCCGUAUGACAUUUUCUCCCAUUUUUCUUAUCAUAUUAUGCAUCACAAUACUAUUAUUCAGGUCGAUUGAUAAUAGAGAUUUUUCGAUAAGGUAAUCUAUUAGAAAACCACGACUCAUAUAUCUCCGUACUAGUUCCACACAAAGAUGAAAAUCAUAUCUAGUCAAACAUGCAAUAUCUAGAAAUGCAAUAUCUAGAAAUAAUUCCUUCUCAUCUUUGUCCAGACCAUCAAAACUAAGCCUAAGCUUUCCUAGAAUAUCCUUGUCAGGAUUCUCUUCAGCCGAUCAAUUAUGUGUCUCCAGUGCUUUUUAUCUCGUCCAUAAAAUAAAUAACCCAAAACUUUAAGAGCUAAAGGGAGUCCACCAGCAUGCUUCACCACUUGUCAUGAAAGUUCUAUAAAAUCUUCUUUUGGUGUCACUUGCCUUGAAAGUUCCAAAAAUCCUUCUUUUGGUGAUUUUUCUCUAAAAGCAAGCCUACUGAACAAUUCAAGUGCUUCAUUCUCAGAUAAUAGUUGGACUUCAUACACAUUAUCCCCGACGUGACUGAUUAACAGGUGCUUGUCUCUUGCUGUUAAAAUAAUUCUGCUACCCCUACCAAACCACUCUGGCUCUCCAACCAAAAAUUCCAACUGUUCUUGAUGGUUUACGUCAUCGAUGGUGAACAGAACUUUCUUCCAGCGAAGCAUAUUCUUUAAAAUAUUCAUCCCUUCAUGCUCGCUAGUUAGAGUCAAUUUUUCACCCCAGAGCUUGCAAAUGACGACUUGUUGUAGCCAUGUUAGUCCAUUUUUUCUGGUGAAGUUUUCCAACAUCACCAAGAAAACAAUCAGCUUCAAAUCGAUGGCUGUAUCUUUGAUGUAGAACAUUUGCAAUUUCUGUUUUGCCGAUGCCGCCCAUACCCCAAAUACCAAUAGAGCGAACAUCAUUUGAUUCCAUAUCUAAUAAUGAGGUUACUUUCUCAACCUGAGAUUUCAAACCCACUAAGCUUUCCGGGAAAGGUGAAAUAAUUUGAAGUGACUUAGGAAAUAUGUCAUCAACUAGUUUCUUGAUG